GACGAACGCUGGCGGUGUGCUUCACACAUGCAAGUCGAACGAGGUAGCAAUACCUAGUGGCGGACGGGUGAGUAACGCGUGGGAAUCUGCCUUUUAGAUGGGGGAUAACGGGUCGAAAGACUCGCUAAUACCGCAUAUGACCGAAAGUUGAAAGGAGUAAUCCGUCUAAAGAUGAGCCCGCGUCCGAUUAGCUAGUUGGUAGAGUAAAAGCCUACCAAGGCGACGAUCGGUAGCUGGUCUGAGAGGGAUGAUCAGCCACAAUGGGACUGAGACACGGCCCAUACUCCUACGGGAGGCAGCAGUC
rnacentral:rRNA from 1 species